rnacentral:rRNA from 1 species
UACGUAGGGUGCGAGCGUUAAUCGGAAUUACUGGGCGUAAAGCGUGCGCAGGCGGUCUGUUAAGACCGAUGUGAAAUCCCCGGGCUUAACCUGGGAACUGCAUUGGUGACUGGCAGGCUUUGAGUGUGGCAGAGGGAGGUAGAAUUCCACGUGUAGCAGUGAAAUGCGUAGAUAUCUGGAGGAACACCGGUGGCGAAGGCGGCAUCCUGGACCAAUACUGACACUGAGGAGCGAAAGCCAGGGGAGCAAACGGG